rnacentral:rRNA from 1 species
UACGUAGGGACCAAGCGUUGUUCGGAUUUACUGGGCGUAAAGGGCGCGUAGGCGGCGUGGUAAGUCACUUGUGAAAUCUCUGAGCUUAACUCAGAACGGUCAAGUGAUACUGCUGUGCUAGAGUGCGGUAGGGGCAAUCGGAAUUCUCGGUGUAGCGGUGAAAUGCGUAGAUAUCGGUAGGAACACCAGUGGCGAAGGCGGUCUCCUGGGGCAUUCUUGACGCUGAGGCGCGAAAGCUGGGGGAGCAAACGGG